AUUGCACGCUGGCGGCAUGCUUUACACAUGCAAGUCGAACGGCAGCGCGGGGCAACCUGGCGGCGAGUGGCGAACGGGUGAGUAAUACAUCGGAACGUACCCAGAAGUGGGGGAUAACGUAGCGAAAGUUACGCUAAUACCGCAUACGUUCUACGGAAGAAAGUGGGGGACCUUCGGGCCUCAUGCUUUUGGAGCGGCCGAUGUCUGAUUAGCUAGUUGGUGAGGUAAAGGCUCACCAAGGCGACGAUCAGUAGCUGGUCUGAGAGGACGACCAGCCACACUGGGACUGAGACACGGCCCAGACUCCUACGGGAGGCAGCAGUGGGGAAUUUUGGACAAUGGGCGCAAGCCUGAUCCAGCAAUGCCGCGUGAGUGAAGAAGGCCUUCGGGUUGUAAAGCUCUUUUGUCAGGGAAGAAACGGCCGAGGCUAAUACCUUUGGCUAAUGACGGUACCUGAAGAAUAAGCACCGGCUAACUACGUGCCAGCCGCCGCCGUAA
rnacentral:rRNA from 1 species